UCCGGUUUGUCACCGGCAGUCUCGCAUGAGUCCCCAGCUGAACUGCUGGCAACAUGCGACGGGGGUUGCGCUCGUUGCGGGACUUAACCCAACAUCUCACAACACGAGCUGACGACAGCCAUGCACCACCUGUGAUCCUGUCCCGAAGGAAAGACGUGUUUCCACGCCGGUCAUCCACAUGUCAAGCCCAGGUAAGGUUCUUCGCGUUGCGUCGAAUUAAACCACAUGCUCCGCUGCUUGUGCGGGCCCCCGUCAAUUCCUUUGAGUUUUAGCCUUGCGGCCGUACUCCCCAGGCGGGGUGCUUAAUGCGUUAGCUGCGGCACGGGAGGAGUCGACACCUCCCACACCUAGCACCCAUCGUUUACGGCGUGGACUAC
rnacentral:misc_RNA from 1 species